rnacentral:rRNA from 1 species
UACGUAGGGGGCAAGCGUUGUCCGGAAUCAUUGGGCGUAAAGAGCUUGUAGGCGGUUUGUCGCGUCUGCCGUGAAAAUCCGGGGCUCAACCCCGGACUUGCGGUGGGUACGGGCAGACUAGAGUGUGGUAGGGGAGACUGGAAUUCCUGGUGUAGCGGUGAAAUGCGCAGAUAUCAGGAGGAACACCGAUGGCGAAGGCAGGUCUCUGGGCCACUACUGACGCUGAGGAGCGAAAGCGUGGGGAGCGAACAGG